ensembl:lncRNA
GCUUUGCCUUCGCUCUCUCCCUCGAUCUUUGUCGUUUCUCUGACAGAACUCCUGCCGCCGUGUCGUAACCUUCUCCCAAAUGACAAACUCACCUCACUUUCCUUCAGAUGCGGUACUGACAGCUAUGCAGGAGAGGGUGUGGGGGACGGCAGUGGGAUUGAGAGCCAAAUAUCCCUUGAACUUUCUACGCCCGAAAUAUCACAGUGUGGGUGGUCGGACUCAGGGGAGAAUGCGAUUGCUUGUGUGAACAUAAAAGCCCACAAGAGAAAUAGUCUGAUCGGUAAGGCGAAACACUCAAUGGAGAAUGAUAAAAAUCUCAGGGAGCGAUUCAUUUUCAUCUGAACUGAGCCACAUCUUCCAAACCGCAGAACCCUUCGGCCAUGUGAAGACUUUAGCCCAAGUUAGGAGCUCAAUUGAAUCCAGAUGUCGCUCCAGCAAUAGCCGUUACUUUCACCACUAAAUCAUUCAGUUCCUGGAGGAAUGAUAGUCAGGCAACUAAAAUGAAUCGCUUGCUCUUAUUGUUAAUCACCCUUUAAUUUUUUUUUUUUCUUUCUAUGUGAACUUUCACUUCUUCACAAGUUCUGGAAAAAAUGCACAAAAUGUUCAGUGGUUGUGAAAAUUGGUUGAUUUAGUUCUUUAGUUUCUGAGAUUAAAAUAAUGGUUGUCAAACAAAGCAAAAAAUUUAGUAGCUGCCAUUUCCUCCAAGAAAAACAAGUUUUAUGAAUUCUCUAUUUGUUGUUUAGUGUCUGGAACUCAUUGAGUUCGGUUACGUGUGUUUGCGUGCAUAAUUAGAAUUAGUCUUUCGUCUGAAACUGUGUUUAUCACGCACAUAUGAUCAUUCAUUCUUCAAAAGUGUUGUUUUGAUUGUCCAAAUAUCUUACGUCAAGGGCUAAAUGUUUAAAUCCUCAAAACAGCCUAAGGAAGACUGUAUGAGGAUUGUAAGAGAAGCAAUUUGCUAUGUGUUCAGCAGGAUCCAGCAGUGAAAAUGUUUAUUAUUGUUUUGUUGAUUGAUUCAUUCAUUGGUUUACACCCUAAUAUUCAAAAGUUCAUUCAUAUUGUUAUCCUUAUUAUUUUCUGUCUAAUUUAUUUAUGUAUUUAUUAACACUUGCUCUUAACAUCUGCAAGAUUCCCUUACUUAGUACAUAAGAAAUAAAAGGGUAAGAUUAAAGGGGCA